AAUCAUGUAAUACUACAUCAGUGUUAUGUUAUUGUAUGACUUCAUCUUUUAUACAGUCGGGUUCGGGGUUUCGGGCGGCCAUAGCGAAUUUCAGCAAGAUUUUACCCCAGUGAAAAAGGCUUGUAAUCCACAGUGAUCAGCUAAGAUGUUGUUUCACUGGAUUAUUUAAUUGGGCAUAUAAUUGGAUAAUUCUGGAUCAGCUGAGAUGUUAUUUCACUGGAUUAUUUAAUGGAUAGACUUAUUGGGCAUAUAUUUGGAUAUCUCUGUCCUCAACCUGGAAGAUAUGUUUUGUUCCUAACCAUCUAUAAUCCAUUCUCUAUGAAGUUCAGACUGUCUGCUCUUCCUUUGGAAAUACACAGUUAGUCAACCAACAUAGAAACACACAAACUUGAAGGAUUCUCUAGUGAGGGCUUAUGGAAAUGAUCUAUGUCUACUCUCAGAAUGGUGAAAGACUAUCAGAUUAUGCAAAGACUAACAGAAUAUCCUCUCUUGGAACACUGAAACAAGAAAAUCAAACAGGAGAUGGAUGGAGGAUUUAAGAAGCACAUAGAUAAAUAUGAUUUCCAACGAAUUUAACCAGUAUUAUCAUAGACUGUGGUUUACAGGAUGACAAAGUAACAGGAUUGUAUCAUUUUACUGUCAGACACUGACUAUGGAUAAGAUGUACCCAUUUAUUAAACUGAGAUCUAGUCAAAUCAAGUACAAUUGUAUUGAAAAAAUGAUUUUCUGAUAGCAUGAACUCUUUAAAAAUUAAUUCUCACAGACCUCAAAGUAUCUGAAUGUGACUUUUAUUUUUACCAAUUUCUAUUGAAGACUGUUGUUAUGUAUGAGAAGUAUACAUUUAAAUCUUUUAUUUUUCAUCUUAUUUCUAUAACCCCCUAGAAAUUACACAGAUAUUCAGAUGCUGGAUUUAAUAUUAUUAUUUAACUUUCCUGGAAUGGUAAAUAUAUUUUGUUUGUGUAUGUAUCAUUUUUUAAUUUUGAAUUUAAAAUUGGUCUCAAUAAGACCCCCAAUAAAGAUGCAAGUGUCCCAUAAUCUGUGGUUUAAUAAUAUCUUGAAUAUCUUUAUCAUAUCAUAUUCAUCAUACUAAUUACAUAUAGAAUGUUUGUAGGAAUACACUUUGUUGUUUAGGACACUUUGUCAAGGUCAAAGCAUAAGAUUAUUGAGAUGACUUCUUUGACAAUAAUUUGUAACUUACAAACUUCACAUCAUAAGUACACAGAUGAAGAAUCAAUAAGAUAUUUCUAUAGAUUUUUUGGAUCAUUUACUCCUGGGUAAAAGUUAGUUACUAACUGAGAUUACUGAUUUGAAUCCUGUAAUGCAAUAACUUAAACAUUGUGUGAUAACUUAUAGACUUUAUAAAAAUUAGGUGCAAAUUCUUAGGAAAGGAUUGAAAUGUAAAUCAUAUGCACUAUGUUCAAGGAUGUUUAUAUGACUAUUACUAUGUAAUACCUUAGAAUUCUGUAAAAAAUUUAUUAUCACUGCGUAGA